rnacentral:rRNA from 1 species
AUAAAAGAUAUAACCUGCCCAAUGAUAAUUUUAAUGGCUGCGGUAUUUUAACUGUACAAAGGUAGCAUAAUCACUUGUUUUUUAAUUGAAUUCUGGUAUGAAGGGUUGGAUGAGAUAUAUACUUUCUUUAUUUUAAAAAAAUAAAUUUAUUUUUUGAUUAAAAAGUUAAAAUUUAUUUAUAGGACGAGAAGACCCUAUAGAAUUUUAUUUUUACACAAAUAAAAGGAAUUUGAUUAUUUAUUUAUAUAUUGUCUAAAAAUUUUGUUGGGGUGACAAAAAAAAUACUAUAACUUUUUUUCUUUUUUUCAUGAUUUAUGAUUAUUUGAUCCCUUAUUUGGAUUAUAAGAUUAAAUUACCUUAGGGAUAACAGCGUUAUUACUUUGGAGAGGUCUUAUUGAUAAAGUAGUUUGCGACCUCGAUGUUGGAUUAAAAUAAGAUUUUGGGGUAAAAAUUAAUUUUUCUAGGUCUGUUCG